rnacentral:rRNA from 1 species
UACGUAGGGCGCAAGCGUUAUCCGGAAUUAUUGGGCGUAAAGAGCUCGUAGGCGGCUUGUCGCGUCUGCCGUGAAAGUCCGGGGCUCAACUCCGGAUCUGCGGUGGGUACGGGCAGACUAGAGUGAUGUAGGGGAGACUGGAAUUCCUGGUGUAGCGGUGAAAUGCGCAGAUAUCAGGAGGAACACCGAUGGCGAAGGCAGGUCUCUGGGCAGUAACUGACGCUGAGGAGCGAAAGCAUGGGGAGCGAACAGG